rnacentral:tRNA from 1 species
UCGUAGCUCAGCGGAAGAGCAGGGGUCUUCGAAACCCAAGGUCGCAGGUUCGAAUCCUGCCGG